GGCAAUUUUUGGUUUUGAAGAAGUAAUCAUAUUUUGGGUCUGGUUUCGUGGUGGGUGACCCGAUCCAAUUUUCGUCAUUGAAGAAAAGAAAUCGAAAAAAUUAGGUUAUCAAAUUAGACUAAACGAGAGCAAAAACUGUUUACGCAGAGGAAGAUAAUCAAAUUUCUCCCGAAAACUGCUUCUCUUUCGCUUUGUGCAGAGGCAGAUAAUCGAUGAUGUCUACCAGCAGCCGGAGAUGCCUUACUGUUUUUCGGGUUCAUCGGCCAAUGUGUAUUUUUGAUUCCGCUUCUUAUAGUAGUUUUAAAAGCAGUACAUAUUUGAGAGCUCAUAGCUUACCGUUAUGUAGACUGGGCAUCAUGUUGCUUUGGAAGGAGGUCUCUCAUGGGGUUUUGUGUAUUUCUUGGAGAUGCUUUAGUCUCUUGGAAGUCUAAAAAGUAGAAAUAAAUAAAAUUUUUUAAAAUUAAAAUUUCUAUUCAA